UACGUAGGGCGCAAGCGUUGUCCGGAAUUAUUGGGCGUAAAGAGCUCGUAGGCGGUUUGUCGCGUCUGGUGUGAAAACUCAAGGCUCAACCUUGAGCUUGCAUCGGGUACGGGCAGACUAGAGUGCGGUAGGGGAGACUGGAAUUCAUGGUGUAGCAGUGAAAUGCGUAGAGAUCAUGAGGAAGACCAGUGGCGAAGGCGGGUCUCUGGACAGUUCCUGACACUGAGGCACGAAGGCCAGGGGAGCAAACGGG
rnacentral:rRNA from 1 species